AUUGAACGCUGGCGGCAGGCCUAACACAUGCAAGUCGAGCGAGAAAGGUCUUCGGACUGAGUACAGCGGCGGACGGGUGAGUAAAGCGUAGGAAUCUACCUGGUAGUGGGGGAUAACUUGGGGAAACUCAAACUAAUACCGCAUACGCCUACGGGGAAAGGCGGGGGACCGUUCGGGCCUCGCGCUAUCAGAUGAGCCUGCGUAGGAUUAGCUAGUUGGUGAGGUAAAGGCUCACCAAGGCGACGAUCCUUAGCUGGUCUGAGAGGAUGAUCAGCCACACUGGGACUGAGACACGGCCCAGACUCCUACGGGAGGCAGCAGUGGGGAAUAUUGCGCAAUGGGCGAAAGCCUGACGCAGCCAUGCCGCGUGUGUGAAGAAGGCCUUAGGGUUGUAAAG
rnacentral:rRNA from 1 species